CCUACGGGGGGCAGCAGUGAGGAAUAUUGGUCAAUGGUCGGGAGACUGAACCAGCCAAGCCGCGUGAGGGAUGAAGGUACAGAGUAUCGUAAACCUCUUUUGUCAGGGAACAAAGGCGGGGACGUGUCCCCGGAUGAGUGUACCUGAAGAAAAAGCAUCGGCUAACUCCGUGCCAGCAGCCGCGGUAAUACGGAGGAUGCGAGCGUUAUCCGGAUUUAUUGGGUUUAAAGGGUGCGCAGGCGGUCUGUUAAGUCAGCGGUCAAAGCCCGGGGCUCAACCCCGGCCCGCCGUUGAAACUGGCAGUCGCGAGUUGGAGAGAGGUAUGCGGAAUGCGCGGUGUAGCGGUGAAAUGCAUAGAUAUCGCGCAGAACUCCGAUUGCGAAGGCAGCAUGCCGGCUGCACACUGACGCUGAGGCACGAAAGCGUGGGUAUCGAACAGGAUUAGAUACCCUUGUAGUC
rnacentral:rRNA from 1 species